CGAACGGACGAGAAGCUUGCUUCUCUGAUGUUAGCGGCGGACGGGUGAGUAACACGUGGAUAACCUACCUAUAAGACUGGGAUAACUUCGGGAAACCGGAGCUAAUACCGGAUAAUAUUUUGAACCGCAUGGUUCAAAAGUGAAAGACGGUCUUGCUGUCACUUAUAGAUGGAUCCGCGCUGCAUUAGCUAGUUGGUAAGGUAACGGCUUACCAAGGCAACGAUGCAUAGCCGACCUGAGAGGGUGAUCGGCCACACUGGAACUGAGACACGGUCCAGACUCCUACGGGAGGCAGCAGUAGGGAAUCUUCCGCAAUGGGCGAAAGCCUGACGGAGCAACGCCGCGUGAGUGAUGAAGGUCUUCGGAUCGUAAAACUCUGUUAUUAGGGAAGAACAUAUGUGUAAGUAACUGUGCACAUCUUGACGGUACCUAAUCAGAAAGCCACGGCUAACUACGUGCCAGCAGCCGCGGUAAUACGUAGGUGGCAAGCGUUAUCCGGAAUUAUUGGGCGUAAAGCGCGCGUAGGCGGUUUUUUAAGUCUGAUGUGAAAGCCCACGGCUCAACCGUGGAGGGUCAUUGGAAACUGGAAAACUUGAGUGCAGAAGAGGAAAGUGGAAUUCCAUGUGUAGCGGUGAAAUGCGCAGAGAUAUGGAGGAACACCAGUGGCGAAGGCGACUUUCUGGUCUG
rnacentral:rRNA from 1 species